rnacentral:rRNA from 1 species
UACGUAGGGGGCAAGCAUUGUCCGGAAUCAUUGGGCGUAAAGAGCGUGUAGGCGGCCCGAUAAGUCCGCCGUGAAAGUCCAGGGCUCAACCCUGGGAUGCCGGUGGAAACUGUCGGGCUAGAGUCCGGAAGAGGCGAGUGGAAUUCCUGGUGUAGCGGUGAAAUGCGCAGAUAUCAGGAGGAACACCGGUGGCGAAGGCGGAUCUCUGGGCCAUUACUGACGCUGAGGAGCGAAAGCGUGGGGAGCGAACAGG